AUUGAACGCUAGCGGGAGGCUUAACACAUGCAAGUCGAACGAGUGGCGGACGGGUGAGUAAUGUAUCGGAACGUGCCUAGUGGCGGGGGAUAACUACUCGAAACAGUAGCUAAUACCGCAUACCAUCGGAUCAGCCCAUGUGGGAUUAGCUAGUUGGUGGGGUAAAGGCUCACCAAGGCAACGAUCCGUAGCUGGUUUGAGAGGAUGACCAGCCACACUGGGACUGAGACACGGCCCAGACUCCUACGGGAGGCAGCAGUGGGGAAUAUUGCACAAUGGGGGAAACCCUGAUGCAGCCAUGCCGCGUGUAUGAGAAGGCCUUCGGGUUGUAAAGUACUUUCGGCAGAGAAGCGGUACCUGCAGAAUAAGCACCGGCGAACUCCGUGCCAGCCGCCGCGGUAAUUC
rnacentral:rRNA from 1 species